UAUUAUUCUGGCUCAUAUUGGCCCAUGAGGACCGACUCUAUCUAUUGACAUCAAGUCUAUUAGAUGGGUAUGCUCUUAUCUCCACAAUUCCAGUUAAGGUAACACAUGAUACUCAUGUUUUGUAGUACAUUAUCAGUACUAUUUAACAUCUAUGUUGUAAAAGUUCUCUAUGUGUUUUUUGGUUGAGAAAGCUUAAACGUUCUGCGUUGUUUUCAGUCACUAAUUGAUGCACUUCACAAUCAAGUUGGAGAUGGUAAUGUUAAGCUUGGUACAGAAGUGCUGUCAUUGGCAUGUAGAUUUGAUGGAGUCCCUGCAUCCGGUGGGUGGUCAAUUUCUGUUGAUUCAAAAGAUGGUAGUAGCAAGGAGCUCGCAAAGAACCAAACCUUUGAUGCUGUUAUAAUGACAGCUCCAUUGUCUAAUGUCCAGAGGAUGAAGUUUACAAAACGUGGAGCUCCCUUUGUGCUAGACUUUCUUCCUAAGGUGGAUUAUCUACCACUAUCCCUCAUGGUGACAGCUUUUAAGAAGGAAGAUGUCAAGAAACCUCUGGAAGGAUUUGGGGUCUUAAUACCUUACAAGGAACAGCAAGAACAUGGUCUGCAAACCCUUGAUCGAGCUCCUAAUGACCAAUAUUUAUAUAUGACAUUCGUCGGGGGCAGCCACAGUAGAGAUCUCGCUGGAGCUCCAACGUAUAAAUCCUAUUUUGAUGAUUUAUGUUCUUUUCCCAUUUUAGCUAGAUUAUUCUUAUAACAUUCUUCUGCAGGUCUAUUCUGAAACAACUUGUGACAUCUGACCUUAGAAAGCUCUUGGGUGUAGUGGGGCAACCAACUUUUGUGAAGCAAGUACUCAAACAUACUGUUCUAAUUGUUGAUAUUGCCCAUUUGCUAUAUGUUCUUUUCCUUCGUUGUGCUGGUCUUAUGGUUUGUCAAUUUGUAAGGAGUAGAGUUCAUGCAUUUCAUUUCACCACCACACACUCGUGAAUUUUUUCUGUGGUACUCAGGCAUAUAUAUACUGGAGAAAUGCUUUUCCUUUGUAUGGCCAUGAUUACAGUUCAAUAUUGGAAGCUAUAGAGAAGAUGGAGAAAAAUCUUCCAGGGUUCUUCUACGCAGGCAAGCCAAUAAAGGCACCAUUUUGUACAAACAAAUGUUAGAUAUAUGAAAGAUCCCCCUUGUUGAUUGGGUACCACAGCAUUUUGCAAUAUCUAGCCAGUCAGUUACCAUUUCCAGUAACUGUGCUACUCCUUGAUCUGCUGAAAUGGAUACUCUGAUUAAAAAGAAAAGAAAACUGCAAUAUAACAUUUAAACAGAAAUAACAAGGAUGGGCUGGCUGUUGGGAAUGUCAUAGCUUAAGGAAGUAAGGCUGCUGACCUUAUGAUCUCGUAUCUUGAUUCUCGCACCAAGCAUGACAAUUCACAUUGAAGGGAU